rnacentral:rRNA from 1 species
UACAGAGGUCUCAAGCGUUGUUCGGAUUCAUUGGGCGUAAAGGGUGCGUAGGUGGCGCCGUAAGUCGGGUGUGAAAUUUCGGAGCUUAACUCCGAAACUGCAUUCGAUACUGCGGUGCUUGAGGACUGGAGAGGAGACUGGAAUUCAUGGUGUAGCAGUGAAAUGCGUAGAGAUCAUGAGGAAGACCAGUGGCGAAGGCGGGUCUCUGGACAGUAACUGACGCUGAGGAGCGAAAGCGUGGGGAGCGAACAGG